rnacentral:misc_RNA from 1 species
UCUCCGUUGGUGAACCAGCGGAGGAAUCACUACUGGAAUCGCAAGAUCCCACAACCCCUGUGAACCUACCGAAACGUUGCCUCGGCGGGCGCCCGGCCCCGCGCCGGGCGCUGAGCCCGCCGGCGGCCCCCUACUCUUGUCUCUGCAGCGUGGCAUGUCAGAGUCCCAGAAAACAAGUAAAAACUUUCAACAACGGAUCUCUUGGCUCUA